UGGGAGCCUGGGUACUUUGCAUGCCAUGCAUCCAUACCACAUCCCAGCCUGCUCUUUGAAGCCAGGAUCUCUGCUGUAUCCUGGCACAUCGUGGAUUACAAUGUUUCAGGCUGCCUGCUGCAGCUCAGCUGUAUGUCUGAUCUUGGUUGGAAAGACCAGUUUGCCUGCUCCUGGAACCUGGAAGCAUAUCAUCAUCUACCAGGUACAUAGGUCAGAAAAAGAUUAAUAUUUGUGGCUUACAGCUGUUGAAAUCAUCCCAGCGUGUGAGCCAUGAGGUAAUAGAGUCAAAGCUCUCUUAGCAGACAAGUGGAUGCUAUUGGAAAGAAAAGAAAGAAAAAAAAGAAAAGAAAAAAAAAAAAAGAAAGCUCAUUAAAUUAAUCUGUCUAAGAAGGAAAAAGAACUUGUGGGAUUGCUGCCUGUGAGAUUAACAGCAAAUCUGAUGAUAAAAGAGGUUGGAAGCAAAGACGGUUUGGUGGAGAGCAUCUCGUUUUCAGUCAACUUAUAUUAGAAAAGCCCUGAAGAAUAGAAUCAUUAAAUUAUUACUCUCUGAAGCAGUGCAGAAGGGCCUUGGAGGAAAUGCUGUCAUGUCAGUAAAGAGUUUAAGAGUCUGCGGAGGUACCAGAGAUGUUCCUUAUUGAUUUGAAGGCUGGGGGCAGAGGGCAGGAGGUUGGAGGAUUUUUUACUUUGACUGGCUAUAACUGUGUUGGAAACUCUCAAGAAAAAAAAAACCUUGCAGAGGAAAAACUCCAGCACUGUCCUACUUUAAAUACAGCUGAGCUGCUUGACACUGGCGAUUUCAGGCUGAUCUCUGCUACGCACUUCACUGCAGUACGUGCUGCCCCAUCCAGAGCUGAUCACCACCAGCCAAGGGGUGUGUGAGGUCCGUUUCCCCAGGGGGCAAUGAUCCCCAAUCAGGAAGGGAUACAGAGCAGUCUGAGGACGUUCCUCAGUGCCACGACUGAGGAGGGUAGCAGGUGUGCCUUGCAAUGGGUGCCUGACAAGGAGAACCUGUUUUUUUAACCUUCAGAUAAAUUCUUCCAUUUGGCCAACGUACCCAGAGGAGGAGAGAACAGUCCUGAUGAAUUUUUCAAUUCAGUCUUGAUUCCUUGGAGAAAGAAAAGAGAAAAACCUGACACUGGGAUGUACGAGGGAUGCGUCACGAACAGCAAGGCUGCUGCACUCAGAAGAUCAGGUCUUCCUGAGCAUUCCAAGCCCCAGGCACCUGGCAGGUAUGUCCCUUUCCACCUCCAUCACUGUGGAACCUAGCACCAGAAGCUCCAGGUUCCCCACAGUGCCUGAUGCACUGCUCACAUGGCUCUGCCUGGCUGCGGCUCUGCAGAGAUCACUGCAGGCAGUCGGGGUCCAUGCCAGGCACUGCUCUCCUGAAGACCUCCAUCUGCCUCCAGACAAGACUGAAUGGCCAUUCCAAGGACCAGGAAUGCCCCUGGGUUGGCACAUGGAGCAAGACAAAGUCCACACGCUGGGAGAAGAGCCAGAAGAAAAGGCGCAUCCGCUAAAAAGUCAUGUAAAGGCAAUCACUGCUUUUCCAUGUAUGGAUUUGCAGAAUGUCACUGCCUGAACUUGGGAAAGGAUUCACAGUGGGAGCAGGGGCCCAGAGGAAGCAGCAUCCCUGAGUUCAGCUGCCAUGGACUACAGAAAGAGGAAAUUCACUCGCAGGGAUAGGAUCAUUGCUUCCUGUCUCUGCGUUUUCCCAGAGCCUUCCACUCAGUACCCUGCUGGAGGCCCUACUUGAACACUUCUGUAUAUUGGCCCCUGCAUGUGGCACCAGACCAACCAUAGGCUCCAACAAGGACAGACAGGAGUGGGGAUGUGCCUAAUUAGGGCAGAAACACCGGGGACCUGGAUGUGCAGACCUGCCUCGACCUCCGCUCAAGCACAGCCAUUCACACACAGGCUGCAUGUUAUUGCUGCUCCAAGAAGAGAGCUAGAUCCACUUAUUUUUUUCAUUAAAAUGCAAAUUAAUUUAAUAAAAAGUAGAAUUGUAAAUUAAUGAAGCACUUAAAAAUUCUCCGUAAUACAAGGCUAAUACUUACUCUGUAGAAUUUCCUCCAGUUAAUAUCACCACUAACUCUCCCGAGUGGGACCAACCUGGCAGCUCCUCCAGUCUCAAUCAGUCUCUUUGAUUGGUGAUGGGAUCGGAGCUCACGUCGCCUUUUUUACUACUUUCCCAUCACUGGGGGCAGUUGGGGAGUCCGCCUCCUCUGCAGGAAACCCAUCCCGCCAGGCUCUGCCUGCACUCAGGAGCAGAGAUGCGCUGUCUCCCCUAGGAAGAGUGUUAACGCACCUCUGCAAUUCGCUGCAACCCGAUGUGAAGAGAGCAGGGCUGCUGCCCUGAGCAGAGCUGCCCUCCCACGACGUUCUGCUGCAAUAACAUCACAGCUGCCUCCCGUGUCGGCUUGGGACCUAUUUGAGCCAGAGACUGUGCAUCCACGGUCCAUUUUUUUCCCUAACACGAAGUGCCAGAUUUCAGGCUCGACUCCAACGCCAGGAUGCGCAGCAUGCAAGCUGUGGGGCUCUCUAACAAAGGGCUGCUGGCCACCCCCAUCCCACUGCUGUCACAAUCACAGGCACACCGACUACCAUGCAGAGCUUCCCUGAGAGCAGCGGGACGCUCAGCAGCCCCUCCAUCUCCAGCAUUACCGCCCGUCUGCAGGAUGGGAGCAGGGGAGGAGCCUUGCCUGGCAGGAGGUCAGCUAUGGCUCAGGUGCAAAGCUUGCUUUCUGCACUCUCUCUUUUUAACUAAGGCUUCUAUGAAAACGAUGUAGCACAUUCAAUCUUAAGACACAGUAGAAUGAGUGAAGCAUGCUCAAAAAAAAAAAAAAAAAAAAGAAUAAAAAAAUUGCUGGCUAAAGGAAGCAAGGUAUUUCCACAGCAAGAUCAACCCUUCCUGGCUUACAGGUCCACGUGUGAGCUUACUUUCUUCUUUAUAUAGAAGAUAGAGAGAAAAUGCAAUUCUGAGAACAGUUCAGUUCACCCUAAGGUAAGCAUACAAAGUAGGUCAGGUAUACCACACGGCCAAAUUGCCCUUCCUUCUCUCUCUGCUGCUAUAAAAAGAGCCUGGGCAGGCAGCUUUUAUGCAGACGUUACACUGGCCUGCGUUCAGAGUGAGGGGACACAAAUCCUGCCUCUCUCCACUCUGGAUACGGCCCAAGCCAUCCCACGUGCACCCAUCACAGCUCCCAUAUCGCAGAGCCUCGAGUGACACACGCAGUCCCAGUUCACAUGUGGGCCCUGUGCCAUGUAUGGGCUGAUGUAUGGGAACCCAUGGAACUGCCCUGCACACAACCUGCCCAGCUCUUCUCCCCUGGCCAUGCAGUAGGGACCAUGCAGGCUUCCUGCUGCCGUUAAUCAUUCGCCACACUCAUUUAUUGCCAUGUAUACACCACUGCCAGGAACAUUAUCCCUUAAAUAAAGCUCACCCACCCUAUUAUUGUAAUGUCAGCCCUGAACCUCUCAGAUAAGCCCUGCAGACAAUUUAUAAUUACACAGAAGUAGCUCUUGUACACUGCACCAAGGGGCCAUCAGGAGAGGAUUUAGGUCUUUCACAGAGGCAGCAUUUGACAGGUCUUUUUGCUGUUAUUUCAUCUUGACAGCUCCUUGCCACCCAGCUCCUCCCGUGGCUCCACACUCAUGCUUUGUUGUGUGAUCUCAGGUGAAGAGAGCAUGUAAUGGGCAAUAAUUGUGGGCGAUUACUGUUUACUUGUUAACUUUGCUUGGCAGAGCAGCUGUGAUGGAUGCACGGACUGGAAUAUUCUCUUUAUCCCCUGUAGCACUGAGAGUGAACUGGUGCUUAAUUCAAAGGCUGAAAUCUAUAAAAAAGAAGACGAAACCCAUCAUUAAAUUUCUCUUAGUGGCUAUGUGCAUAAUUCAUCCAAACACCAUCAAAUAUAAAUGGCCUCGUGUCAGGAUGAGCAGUACAGGCACAGCAGAUCCAACCUGCUCCAGGAGACAGAAACUGCGGAGAAGCCUCUCUCACACCCAUUAAUGAGAUCAGCCACCAAAGCACAUCCACGGAUCUUCCUAGGCAGGACACA